rnacentral:rRNA from 1 species
GGACGGGUGAGUAACGCGUGAGCGACCAACCUUGCACAGGGGGAUAACGGACCGAAAGGUUCACUAAUACCGCAUGAGACCACGGUGUUGCAUGACACAGGGGUCAAAGGAGCAAUCCGGUGCAAGACGGGCUCGCGUCCGAUUAGGUAGUUGGAGGGGUAACGGCCCACCAAGCCUAUGAUCGGUAGCCGACCUGAGAGGGUGAUCGGCCACAUUGGAACUGAGAUACGGUCCAAACUCCUACGGGAGGCAGCAGUGGGGAAUAUUGGGCAAUGGGGGAAACCCUGACCCAGCAACGCCGCGUGAAGGAAGAAGGUUUUCGGAUUGUAAACUUCUGUCCUUGGUGAAGAGAAGAAGACGGUAGCCAAGGAGGAAGCCCCGGCUAACUACGUGCCAGCAGCCGCGGUAAUACGUAGGGGGCAAGCGUUGUCCGGAAUGAUUGGGCGUAAAG